rnacentral:snRNA from 1 species
AUGCUUGUAUCAGCAGGACAUACGCUGACAUCGGGACACACACAAGAUGAGCAUGGCCCCUGGGCAAAAAUGACACGCACAUCUGUGAAGUGCUCCAUUGGUGG